rnacentral:rRNA from 1 species
AAAUAAACCUGAUGGGUUGUUGCUGGCUCUCUAGGGAGCAUGUGCACGCCUUGUCAUCUUUAUAUCUCCACCUGUGCACUUUUUGUAGACCUUUCAGGUCUAUGUUGCUUCAUUAUACCCCAACGUAUGUUAAUAGAAUGUUGUGCCUAUAUAAUAUAUACAACUUUCAGCAACGGAUCUCUUGGCUCUCGCAUCGAUGAAGAACGCAGCGAAAUGCGAUAAGUAAUGUGAAUUGCAGAAUUCAGUGAAUCAUCGAAUCUUUGAACGCACCUUGCGCUCCUUGGUAUUCCGAGGAGCAUGCCUGUUUGAGUGUCAUUAAUAUAUAUCAAUCUUCUCUUUGUUGAGAGGUUUUGAAGGGGGGGGUUGGUUGGCCUCUUUAAAGGGGUCCACUUCCUCUGAAAGGCUUAACCAAAACCCACCCGGUUCUUGGGGGGGAUAACUAUCUACGUUGUUGAAGGGGAGGGGAAGUUCACUUUUCUAACCGCCCUCGAACAAUUCUUCAUUAAGGGGACCUCAAAUCAGGAAGAACUACCCGUUGAACUUAA